rnacentral:rRNA from 1 species
AACGAACGCUGGCGGCAGGCUUAACACAUGCAAGUCGAACGCCCCGCAAGGGGAGUGGCAGACGGGUGAGCAACGCGUGGGAACAUACCCUUUCCUGCGGAAUAGCUCUGGGAAACUGGAAUUAAUACCGCAUACGCCCUACGGGGGAAAGAUUUAUCGGGGAAGGAUUGGCCCGCGUUGGAUUAGCUAGUUGGUGGGGUAAAGGCCUACCAAGGCGACGAUCCAUAGCUGGUCUGAGAGGAUGAUCAGCCACAUUGGGACUGAGACACGGCCCAAACUCCUACGGGAGGCAGCAGUGGGGAAUAUUGGACAAUGGGCGCAAGCCUGAUCCAGCCAUGCCGCGUGAGUGAUGAAGGCCUUAGAGUUGUAAAGCUCUUUCACCGAUGAAGAUAAUGACGGUAGUCGGAGAAGAAGCCCCGGCUAACUUCGUGCCAGCAGCCGCCGUAAGAC